rnacentral:rRNA from 1 species
UACGUAGGGCGCAAGCGUUAUCCGGAAUUAUUGGGCGUAAAGAGCUCGUAGGCGGUUUGUCGCGUCUGCCGUGAAAGUCCGGGGCUCAACUCCGGAUCUGCGGUGGGUACGGGCAGACUAGAGUGCAGUAGGGGAGACUGGAAUUCCUGGUGUAGCGGUGAAAUGCGCAGAUAUCAGGAGGAACACCGGUGGCGAAGGCGGGUCUCUGGGGCAACAACUGACGCUGGAGGAGCGAAAAGCGUGGGGAGCGAACAGGG